rnacentral:rRNA from 1 species
CCUACGGGUGGCAGCAGUGAGGAAUAUUGGUCAAUGGGCGCGAGCCUGAACCAGCCAAGUCGCGUGAGGGAGGACUGCCCUACGGGUUGUAAACCUCUUUUGCCGGGGCGCAACGGGCGCCACGUGUGGCGUCACUGAGAGUACCCGGAGCAAAAGCAUCGGCAAACUCCGUGCCAGCAGCCGCGGUAAUACGGGGGAUGCGAGCGUUAUCCGGAGUUAUUGGGUUUAGAGGGUCCGUAGGCGGCUCGUUAAGUCAGUGGUCAAAUUGAGGGGCUCAACCCCUUCCCGCCAUUGAAACUGGCGUUCUUGAGUGGAAGAGAAGUAUGCGGAAUGCGUGGUGUAGCGGUGAAAUGCAUAGAUAUCACGCAGAACCCCGAUUGCGAAGGCAGCAUGCCGGCUUCCGACUGACGCUGAAGCACGAAAGCGUGGGGAUCGAACAGGAUUAGAUACCCCUGUAGUC